rnacentral:misc_RNA from 1 species
GUGAGCCUAGGUCGCCUCAUGCCUCAGGCCCACCUUUAAUAACUAUGCCUAACCCAUAAAAUUCAUUUGAUAUCUUGAUAUUUAUAAUGUAAGAAAUAAUAUAAGUCACUAUCACCACCAUAUCUAUCCAGUGACAUGUAUAAACUAAAUGUGCCUUGUAGUCAUCAACCACAUUUUACAAUCUAUUAAUGUCAAUCCACACAUAAAGUCUACAUAAAAACACAAUUCAAAACUCUUAAAUAACCUAAAAUAGUCGUUUCUUCCAUAAUGGAGGUCAAAAUAAGAAUUAGCACAUCAAAAUUAGUAGGGAGAUUCUUGACAAAUUUUUUGCUAACAUAGGAAUUGCUAAUGUGGCACUGACAUGCAAUGAUGUGGUGAUGACGUCAGCUUGAUGUGGCAGUGUCUUCAGCAUGAACAAGUGUGGGAUCAAGUGAAAUGUAGCUCAUAGUGAUAGCGCAAGCUCAACUUGCAAAAUUGGAUGGUUCUUGACCCAAAUAGAUGAUAAAAAGCAUGACAGUUCGACAAUAGGCACACGUCAGUCGGCAAACGAUAAGGAGCAAGUGAGCUUCAAACACCGAAUUUCAUUGGUUUUCAAUCGGGUCACAACUCAAGUCAAAAUCUAACGUGAUCAAAUCUCAAAGCAAGGACGUCUAACAAGAGUUCCAUCAAUGGAAAAACACUUUUUGGCAGGUAUCAAAACAUAGGGAAGUGCCAGAUGUCAAAAUUGUCCAAAUCCAAUUGCGACAAUUGAGAUACAAAACUUGGCUUUCCACCUUAAGUGACCAAACUGGUGCCGAUGAGGUUGCCUAUAGACAGGUAGCAGUUUGGUGGUAGUGGCACGGUUGUUUGGCGACGGGAGAGGUGGUGGGUGUUAAGGAUAACAGUGAGGUCUAUGUUUGUUGUGGUGAGUUUCUUACAAGAUAAGAAAAGGCAGUGAGAAAAAAUCAUUCACAUAUUGGAUUUUCAACAUCUAAUACCAAAUUCAUAUGGAACAAGCUCCAAUUGAUGUAGAGCCACUAGAGUUAUGAGAAACUAGAGGAUUCCUCCAAGGGUAGAGAAACAUAUUAUCUAGAGAAAUAAAUUCUCAAAUCUUAUUAAUUGU